GCCUCUGUAGCUCAAUGGAAGAGCAGUUCCGUCCUAAGGAAAGGGUUGGGGGUUCGAGUCCCUCCAGGGGCG
rnacentral:tRNA from 3 species